rnacentral:lncRNA from 1 species
CCCAAUUUUAGCCCGGGGCCCAAUAAAAAAUAGUCCAAACUUAAAGACCCAAAAUAUACAAGGCAGCCCAACAGGCUUAAAACAUAACCCUAGCCCAAACUAAAACACUAAACAGAAAAUAGGGAAGCAGCACAGCCCUUGGACCAGCUUCGCAUGUUCGUCGGCAGCCCUGCAUCCCGCUCCUUCACGUUCGCACCCACGUAUCACGUCAGUGCCCAUGUCUACCACGCCACCCAUAACUUGCAAUGGUUUAAAGUGUUAUAAUUUAGGCUGUAUAAAGCCAUAGUCAACACUGUAAAAGGGGGACGGAUGUUACGAAUAUACAAACAGAUACAAAAUCAUAAAAUAUAGAGAAGUUUUUAAAAGGUAAAUUUUUUCCUACAUUUGGCUUUUGAUUUCUAUUUGUUUUAUUUUAUUUCUUACCCGUACUUAACAAAAAUAAGAAAAAAGGAAAAUAGUCCCUUACCUUAAGCUAAAGAGUUUAAUAUUAUGGGUCAGAAGAGGACGUCACCGUUGAUGAACAGUGACGAAGCCCGUUUUUCGUCUUUGUUUUUCAAAAAAAUUACAAGGCCCUAAAAUACAAAUGUUUUUGGUUCGUUUUUGAAAAACUUUCAAUUUUUUUUCCAAAAUGGACACUAGAUCCGGGUUCUAAGUUUAAAAAAGGAGAAAAAUAAGGGUUUUGAAACUCUGACCACCGCGCACGGUGGUCGUCGGUGACAGACCAGCGGUGGUCGGUGACUAGCCUUUGGGUUUGUUAGAGAGAAAAAGAGAGAAGGCCAUUCUUUUUUUUUUUGAAACAAAAGAAAGAAAUGAGAGAAAAAUAAAAUUUUUCAAGUCUUAUAAUGGGGUAAAACGGUGCGUUUAGCACCCCCCUAAGUGUUCCAUACGGCGCCGUUUUACCCAAUAUACCCCCAAUCUGUUUGACCUGAUCCGAUACCUAGGAGGACCCGCGUGUUUUGUUAAAAGGGGUUAUUUGAACAGUCAAUCCCUCCCUUUUGCGUUGCUGUUUGAUUAGGCCCAUGUGCAUUCCUUUUUUCUGUUUUAAAUUUUGGCCCAGGGGUUUUGUGUCAGUUUUGUUUUAACCCAUGAUUAAAUGUUGCGUUUUGGUAACUGGGGAUAUUUUCUUUUUGAAUCCUCAUUUGUUUGCGUGCAUUAUAUUUUAGUCAUUGAUUCUGUUUUAAUGGUUUAUUUAUUGGGGGAUUAUCUUUUUGAUUUUGUUUUUGUUUCAAUUGAAUCUUUCUCCUUUUAAAUGUCGGCUUUUGUAUAUAUUUUUUUAUUUUAAGUUAUUUGUUAUUCUUGUUUUAUAUUAUUCAUUUUUGUAAAUUAUUCCAUGUUAUUCUUCUUUUAGAAAGAACUUUGAUAUAAUAUAUAUUAUUUGAAUUAUUUUAUAUACAUUACUUAUUUAACGUGGUUUAACGUGGCUUUAUUUAUUUAUUUUGAACUCUUUUAUAUAUCUGUAUAUGUUUCUGCCCUCUUUGAUUGUUUUAUUAUUAUAAACUUUUAUACGCUAUUUAUUUUUAAACUUUUGUGUACAUUUUUUUACUAUUUAUUUUGAAACUUUUUCAUACUUUCAAUUUGUUAUUUCUUUUAAUUUGCUUUACAUAUUAUUAGCUAGAUAUUUUUAUACAUAUUAUUUAUUUGAAAUUCAUAUAUAUUUUAUCUAUUUUAAAUCUAUAUAUGUAUAUCCUUUGGUUUAUGGGAUGGAGGCAGUUUUGCCCAUUGAAGUCGAAAUUCCUUCUCUCUGAGUUUUAUGAAAGUUGAAGUUAGACGAAGCAGAAUGGUUCCAAUCCUGGUAUGAUCAACUGAACUUGAUUGAAGAAAAUAGGCUAAAAGCUAUCCGUUAUGGUCAAAUGUACCAGAAGCGAAUGAUGCGAGCUUACAAUAAAAAGGUUUGCCCUAGAGUAUUCCAUGAGGGGGACUUGGUAUUGAAAAAGAUUUUCCCUAUGCAAAAUGAUUUCAGAGGGAAAUGGAUGCCAAACUGGGAAUGACCUUAUGUGGUAAAGAAGGCUUUUUCUAGAGGAGCGUUGAUAUUAACUGAAAUGGAUGGUAAGAGCCUGCCUAACCUAGUAAAUUCGGAUUUAGUUAAAAGGUAAUUCACUUAAAAGGUGGUUAAGGUGAAAAUCCGCAAAGGGCGCCUAAAAAACAAGAAAAAUGAGAGGCUGAGGUGAAAACCCGCAAAGGGCGCAUUGAGACCAAAUGGGCUUUAAAUUAAAAACCCGAAAAAGGCAAUUCAAAUUUUGAUCGAAGAUGAGGCAUGUGGUAGUCUCGCACUGCUUGAAUUAGCGAAGAGGAAGUAUGCUACAUCUUGGGGCAUCGACAAAGUACUUUAGAUCUUCUAGGCACAUGAUAAGCUCAAAAUGGUCCUCGAAGAGUUUGUACAAAGAAGCUCAGGCUGCAAUAUCUGGGGCAUUUAUUUGUUUCCUUUACUUAUCUUUACAUUACGACAAUGUUUGCUUUCUUUGAUUAAUCCAUGCUUUUCAGAUUUUGUUCCUAAUAAAUUUCAAUUUUAUCCAUCUUUAUAAUCUUUUUUAAGCGUUUCGUAUUGAAAUAAUGAUUAACCACUUUCACAAAAGGAGUUUUGCAUAUUACUUUAGAAGUUUCUAAAUAGUGUAAGAACCUGAAACAGGACUAUUGUUUAAAACUUACUCGACUUAAGGGUUGGAGAUAUUUGAGUCCAAAUUGAGAUUAUCUCUUCGAAUUUUUAGUCAAAGAUAUCGGUUGAACAAGAAGACAAGAUAUCACGUCAAUAACGGAAACAAGCGAUGUCAACCCAAGCAUAAGAGAGGAUCAUUCUCUAGAAAAGAAAAAUGAUAUUCCUCAUUCAUGUAAAUAUCAGGUGUACACAUCUGGUCAUGACACUCGGGGAAUGGCGUAAUAGACCAAAUUGGUGAAAGAUUCAGAUCCUAUACUCCUGAGUUGCAGAGAAGGGUUUAAAGAUGGUACAAACCAUAGGUCCUAGAGGUAUAGUGAAACGGACCCUUACGUUACAAUGGGGCAAACCAGUUGAGCAAAAUGGGUUGUAUUAUGAGUUUUCUACCGUAAAAUCCUAGCCGAGCAAAAAGGCAGCAUAAUACGUCAGUGAUAAAACUCUGAUGAAUAACGAGUGAUGAAACUUUAAGCAUUUAAAAAGGAAACAUUCUCAUGACAUUUCUACAUUCAUAUCAUCCAUAGCGCAUUUGGUUAGGAACAUCUGAUUUAUUCUGAUCAUAGCAUCCUAAUCGUUUGGCUUAAACAUAGGCAUAUGAAACUAAAUCUACAGGACAUGUCCCUCAGAGGACGGUAUAGCAGAACUAGUGAAUUUGCAGAUCUUAUCUCCCUAAGCAGUAGUGGAGCAAAUCGAAGACGGCAAAUUUUAUCUUCAUGUAGCGGCAAUGGAGUAGAUUUAAGCUACCAGCCUUAUCUCCCUAAAGUUUCAGUGGAGCAGGUUUAAGAUACAAGUCUUAUCUCCCUGAAGUGGUAGUGGAGCAGACUGAAAAUUGUAGAUCUUUUCUCCCUAAGCAGUAGUGGAGCAGAUCGAAGACAGCGAAUCUUAUCUCUAUGUAGCGACAAUGGAGCAGAUUUAAGCCACCAGCCUAAUCUCCCUGAAGUUGCAGUGGAGUAGGUUCAAGAUACAAGUCUUAUCUCCCUGAGGUUACAGUGGAACAGACUAAAAAUUACAAAUCUUAUCUCCCUAAGCAGUAGUGGAGCAGAUCGAAGACGACGAAUCUUAUCUCCGUGUAGCGGCAAUUGAGCAGAUUUAAGCCACCAGCCUAAUCUCCCUGAAGUUGCAGUGGAGCAGGUUCAAGAUACAAGUCUUAUCUCCCUGAGGUUGCAGUGGAGCAAACUAAAAAUUGCAGAUCUUAUCUCCUUAAGCAGUAGUAGAGCAGAUCGAAAACGGCGAAUCUUAUCUUCAUGUAGCGGCAAUGGAGCAGAUUUAAGCCACCAGCCUAAUCUCUCUGAAGUUGCAGUGGAGCAGGUUCAAGAUACAAGUCUUAUCUCCCUGAGGUUGCAGUGGAGCAGACUGAAAAUUGUAGAUCUUAUCUCCCUAAGUAGCAGUGGAACAGAUCGAAGACGGCGAGUUUUAUCUUCCCAAUGUAGCAGGGAGUAGAUUUAAGCCACUAGCCUUAUCUCCCUGAGCAAUAGUAGAGUAGGCUGAAGAUUGCGAAUCUUGUCUCUUUAAGUAGUAGUGGAGAAAAUCGAAGAUGGCGAAUCUUAUUUUCUAGAGGUAAUAGGGAAGCAGAUUGAAGCCAUCAGCCUUAUCCCCCUAAAGUUGCAGCGGAGCAGACUGAAGAUAAUGACUCUUAUUUUCUAUAAGUUUCAGUGGAGCAGAUCGCAAUUACAAAUCUUUUUUCCCCGAAAUUACUUUUGAAUGGCUAGAAGCAACAAUUUCUAUACCCUUGAAGAUACAGUAGGUUAAAGCGAGGCUAUCUGAAGAAAAGAAGCAUCAAGAGGGCAAGCUCAGUAAGAUCGGGCAAAAUUGGCCCUUUUUAAGUCUUUGCUCCAUUCUCGUUACACGACAAUGGGCAAAGAGGGGCAGUUGUAGGGCCCAAUUUUAGCCCGGUCCAAACUUAAAGACCCAAAAUAUACAAGGCAGCCCAACAGGCUCAAAACAUAACCCUAGCCUAAACUAAAACACUAAACAGAAAAUAGGGAAGCAGCACACCCCUUGGACCAGCCCCACAUGUUCGUCGGCCGCUCCAUAUCCCGCUCCUCCACGUUCUCACCCACGUACCACGUCAGUGCCCACGUCCACUACGCCACCCAUAACCUGCAAUGGUCUAAAGUGUUAUAAUUUAGGCUAUAUAAAGCCAUAGUCAACACUGUAAAAGGGGGACGGAUAUUACGAAUAUACAAACAGAUACAAAAUCAUAAAAUAUAGAGAAGUUUUUAAAAGGUGAUUUUUUUCCUACAUUUGGCUUUUGAUUUCAAUUUGUUUUAUUUUAUUUCUUACCUGUGCUUAACAAAAAUAAGCGAAGGGAAAGGAGUCACUUACCUUAAGUUGAAGAGUUUAAUAUUGUGGGUCAGAAGAGGACGUCAUCGCCGAUAAACAGCGACGAAGCCUGUUUUCCGUCUU